UCGGGAAUUUUGGGCAAUGGGCGAAAGCCUGACCCAGCAACGCCGCGUGAGGGAUGAAGUAUUUCGGUAUGUAAACCUCGAAAGAAUGGGAAGAAUAAAUGACGGUACCAUUUAUAAGCUCCGGCUAACUACGUGCCAGCAGCCGCGGUAAUACGUAGGGAGCAAGCGUUGUUCGGAUUUACUGGGCGUAAAGGGCGCGUAGGCGGCGCGGUAAGUCACUUGUGAAAUCUCUGAGCUUAACUCAGAACGGCCAAGUGAUACUGCUGUGCUAGAGUGCGGAAGAGGCAACCGGAAUUCUUGGUGUAGCGGUGAAAUGCGUAGAUAUCAAGAGAAACUCCUGAGGCGAAGGCGGGUUGCUGGGCCGACACUGACGCUGAUGCGCGAAAGCCAGGGGAGCAAAC
rnacentral:rRNA from 1 species